CUAGCCUGGCCGUGGGGAACGGUCCCCGCCGCCCCUCAGCCCGGCAAGGGACUGGCGGCGAGCGGAGCAACCCGGGGGGCAGGGAGCCGAGCCCCGCUGCCCCCAGCCCCUGCAGAGGGCGAGGAAAGAUCCCACUUACGGUGCCGAUCCCCCCCGCGCGUGGAAAUCGCUACGAACCGCGUCUAAGGAGCUUUUCCCAGCCCGAGCCCGAGCUCGUCAGUUACCCGAGAGUCACGUCGGAGCGCGGCGAAGUGCAGCCGGCCGCAGAUGUGUUGCACACAAGAACAAAACUAUUCUGAACUUGAAAGGCCACCUCUUGCCUCAGGAACAUAAUGAAAUAUAAUGAUGACCAGCUGCAUCAUCAGUUAUUAUUUAUCAUAAGUGCUAAGAAUUAGCUGAUUAUGAUUAAAUACAUGAUCACCACUUAGACCUAGAUCCUGCAACCACUGAAAUAAUGAAGUUUCAUGGGGAUAUUCAUAUACAACCAGCUGCCACUACUAAGGCGGUCACAGUGCCUACAAGAGAUCAGCUCCUAGAAGAACAGCAGCUGACUCAAACUUAACCUGCCGAUCUUAAUCCAAACUCAGUCCUAAACUUGUAAUAUUUGUAAGACAGUAACUAUUUUUCAUGCAUGGUGAUGUGAUUGAUGCACUAACUGCUGCUCUGAUGAUACCUUCCUCAUGCACUGUGUUCACCCAAGAGAGCAGCCUUGUUGCUUCUAGAAGGGGCAACCCAUGCACCCGCACCCACUCUCUACCACCCCAUCCUCUUUAUCUGCCAGAAAAUUCUAGGCAUAGGCAGGAGUCCAAACAAGCUCAGUGAGGCUAACAAUAGGAAUUCCCUAUGGGUUUGAUUCUUACUUGGGUCAACUUUCUGGCGUAAGAAGGAAUUCUCACCAUGGCACCAAUGUUGGGGGAGGAGUGAUGAGCACACUCACAGUUGAUGCAGUCACAUUCAUGGGCUAGGAUGGGGAUGAGGAAGUAGAGAGGUCUUAUAUGCCUGUUGCCUAUGUAUGGACUACAGUAAUAGCAGAAAGAAAUGUUGGCAUCACAGCAUACCAACACAGAAUGUUGGUAUUAUCCGUGAAAGUAGACAUGGACUAAUUAUUAAUCCAAUAUUGGCCCCUAAAUGCAAAUUUAUGUUAAAGUAUAAAACUGAUUUUGUUAUUAAAAUAAUGGCCCUC